UCUGAGUUUUAUGUUAUCAGGGCCGAGCAUGUAGUCGUUGUCCCGAAGGCGACAGGCGUGCCCAAGCUUCUAAAAGCGAAGGGCAUUCUGAUUCUGAAGCAGUUGAUAGUGUCGGCCGCGUAGUGCUGUGCCUGCUCCAUCCUCUGCUGCUAUCCUGCCUGAGGCCAUCGUGGUCGAUGAAGGUGAAGCAGGAGUCUGCGACUAGUGGCGUGAAGCUAGAACUAGUCGAUGACCCUCUGUUAGCUGAUGUUGAGGUGAAGAAAAUGAAGGAGUUCUCCCACUUGUUCAACAACUCGUGACACAGUCCAGGGAGAAGUCUGAAUAGCUCAAGGCUAUGUCAACCAUCUCUGCAGAUGAGGACGCCCGAUUGAUUCAGGAGCUGAAGGAGCAGCAUGCCGAGGAGUUGAGUAAUAUCCAGGAGCGGCAUGUGGGAGAGCUCCAGAAGCUCCAUGAUAUCAAGAACAAAGCCCUUCAGGAGCAUAGAGAGCUCAAAACUGUGCUGAAAGCUAAGGAGUAUUUCAUUAUUGACUUGAUGUUUGAUGUGUACCGUUACACAGAUUGCCAUCAGAACUUGGAGAAGAAGCUGAAGGAUGUGGACCGCUAGAUGGUAGACUCCAUGAAGCAGAUCCAGGAUAUGACUGCUGAACUGCAGAGCUUCAAGGAUGCCGCUAAGCUGGUGGUUGACCUGGUGGAUCUCGUUGCUGGCGGAACUGCUGAAGGGAAACUUUACUGCAAUGUCUGCAGGAGGCCGCCCAGAACUUCUUGGCUUAUGUGACGGACACCGUUAGGUCCUAUGUGACGACUGCUCUCAGUCUUGUGAGGUCUUGGUAUUCUGUCACUAAUUUGCAGCCGCCAACUGGAGGACUACCUUUGGACUGCUCUGAUGAGCAGUUUGAGCAGAUCGUGAAGGAAGUGCAGCCUAUGGAUGAUAAAAUUGUGAAUGACAUGGAACAAUAGGAGUGAAUCUCCUUUGUAACGAACAUUGCACUUGUAAAUCAUGGGCCGAUUGGCUAUGACUUUGUUUGUGCCUGUAUCAGGAUUAGCAAGGGACAUUUGAAAAUGAAGUUGCAAUAGGGCAGAGGAAAAACAAGAACUUCAAUCCAGCAAAGUGGUGGCUAGACCAUGGUACGGACACACCAAACCUGAGAAUAUUGGCAUCAAGCAUUCUGAAUCUCACCUGCAGCUCCUCAGCUUGUCAGAGGAACUGGUCAGUUUUUGAACAGGUAAAGUAAAAAAUAGUCAACUGUCUAUUUACUAAUUCAUCUAUGCUUAAUAUGAUGUAAUAGCCCUCCUCUAAGGCUCUAUCAUUCGUACCAAAAAGCGCAACAGGCUGCUUCAUGAUAGGAUGAGAGAUUUGGUAUUUGUGAAGUUUAACUCUAAACUGAGGAACAAGAAACAGAACAAAGACAGAGAUCCUAUUGAGAAAGAAGUAGAAGAUGUCCAGGCAGAUGAUGAUAAUGAGUUCAUUACCGGUGCUAUUUAUGCGCCAAGUGAACUUGCUGAACGGGAGCCACAACAUGGAGCACCACAAAGACAAGAAUCAAUAUCACAAGCACAAGGAAAAAGUAAGAGGCUAGUGCGUCAUAGGGAAAAAAGUUAGGAGCCUGGAGUCUUUGAUACAUCAAGUUUCUGUGCAGUCCGGAGUUCCUGGAGCUCUGUCAGCUGACUUAGAAGAUGGAGAUGGUGACACUCAAAUGUAUUCUUCUAAUUCUGAUAAUUCUCUUGGCGCCUCUGAUUUUGAUGAUUAGAAAUGCAGUACAUAGUAGCUAGUAGAACCUUAACUCUGAUUCUGAUGAGUAGAAAUUCAGUAGAGAGUAGAUAGUGGAGACUAGAUUUUGUUGUGUUAAGUCUCCUGACAACUGAUCUGAACUCUAUGUUGUUCUUUUGCUAAUAGUCCUAGACAGGAGCAAUGUUCCUAUGGGCAAAUGUCAUGUCUGCACUAUGAAAUGCUUAUGUUAAGUGUUCUCUAUCUCGUAAA